CUAAAUGACUCUCGACAACGGAUAUCUCGGCUCUCGCAACGAUGAAGAACGUAGCGAAAUGCGAUACUUGGUGUGAAUUGCAGAAUCCCGUGAACCAUCGAGUCUUUGAACGCAAGUUGCGCCUGAAGCCUCCCGGUCGAGGGCACGCCUGCGUGGGCGUCACACA
rnacentral:rRNA from 1 species